rnacentral:rRNA from 1 species
AAAUUGAAGAGUUUGAUCAUGGCUCAGAUUGAACGCUGGCGGCAGGCCUAACACAUGCAAGUCGAACGGUAACAGGAAGCAGCUUGCUGCUUUGCUGACGAGUGGCGGACGGGUGAGUAAUGUCUGGGAAACUGCCUGAUGGAGGGGGAUAACUACUGGAAACGGUGGCUAAUACCGCAUAACGUCGCAAGACCAAAGAGGGGGACCUUCGGGCCUCUUGCCAUCAGAUGUGCCCAGAUGGGAUUAGCUUGUUGGUGAGGUAACGGCUCACCAAGGCGACGAUCCCUAGCUGGUCUGAGAGGAUGACCAGCCACACUGGAACUGAGACACGGUCCAGACUCCUACGGGAGGCAGCAGUGGGGAAUAUUGCACAAUGGGCGCAAGCCUGAUGCAGCCAUGCCGCGUGUAUGAAGAAGGCCUUCGGGUUGUAAAGUACUUUCAGCGGGGAGGAAGGUGUUGCGGUUAAUAACCGCAGCAAUUGACGUUACCCGCAGAAGAAGCACCGGCUAACUCCGUGCCAGCAGCCGCGGUAAUACGGAGGGUGCAAGCGUUAAUCGGAAUUACUGGGCGUAAAGCGCACGCAGGCGGUCUGUCAAGUCGGAUGUGAAAUCCCCGGGCUCAACCUGGGAACUGCAUUCGAAACUGGCAGGCUUGAGUCUUGUAGAGGGGGGUAGAAUUCCAGGUGUAGCGGUGAAAUGCGUAGAGAUCUGGAGGAAUACCGGUGGCGAAGGCGGCCCCCUGGACAAAGACUGACGCUCAGGUGCGAAAGCGUGGGGAGCAAACAGGAUUAGAUACCCUGGUAGUCCACGCCGUAAACGAUGUCUACUUGGAGGUUGUGCCCUUGAGGCGUGGCUUCCGGAGCUAACGCGUUAAGUAGACCGCCUGGGGAGUACGGCCGCAAGGUUAAAACUCAAAUGAAUUGACGGGGGCCCGCACAAGCGGUGGAGCAUGUGGUUUAAUUCGAUGCAACGCGAAGAACCUUACCUGGUCUUGACAUCCACAGAAGAAUCCAGAGAUGGAUUGGUGCCUUCGGGAACUGUGAGACAGGUGCUGCAUGGCUGUCGUCAGCUCGUGUUGUGAAAUGUUGGGUUAAGUCCCGCAACGAGCGCAACCCUUAUCCUUUGUUGCCAGCGAUUAGGUCGGGAACUCAAAGGAGACUGCCAGUGAUAAACUGGAGGAAGGUGGGGAUGACGUCAAGUCAUCAUGGCCCUUACGACCAGGGCUACACACGUGCUACAAUGGCGCAUACAAAGAGAAGCGACCUCGCGAGAGCAAGCGGACCUCAUAAAGUGCGUCGUAGUCCGGAUUGGAGUCUGCAACUCGACUCCAUGAAGUCGGAAUCGCUAGUAAUCGUGGAUCAGAAUGCCACGGUGAAUACGUUCCCGGGCCUUGUACACACCGCCCGUCACACCAUGGGAGUGGGUUGCAAAAGAAGUAGGUAGCUUAACCUUCGGGAGGGCGCUUACCACUUUGUGAUUCAUGACUGGGGUGAAGUCGUAACAAGGUAACCGUAGGGGAACCUGCGGUUGGAUCACCUCCUUA